CCUACGGGUGGCAGCAGUGAGGAAUAUUGCACAAUGGGCGAAACCCUGAUCCAGCGACGCAGCGUGAGUGAUGAAGUAUUUCGGUGUGUAAAGCUCUAUCAGCAGGGAAGAAAAUGACUCUACCUGAUUAAGUAUCCCCGGACAACUACGUGCCAGCAGCCGCGGUUAUACGGAGGGGGCAGCGGUGAUCCGGAAUUACUGGGUGUAAUGGGGGCGGAGACGGCUGCACGAGGCUGUAGGGAAAUGCCGGGGAUUAAACCCGGAACCGCUUUUGAAACUGGGCAGCUAGAGUGCAGGAGAGGUAAGCGGAAUUCGUAGUGUAGCGGUGAAAUGCGUAGAUAUUAGGAGGAACCCCAGUGGCGAAGGCAGCUUACUGGGGUGCAACUGACGCUGAGGCUCGAAAGCGUGGGGAGCAAACAGGAUUAGAUACCCUAGUAGUC
rnacentral:rRNA from 1 species